UUUUACUACCUGACUUCUAACAGGCCUUUUAAUUUGGAAAACUAAAUAUACUGUUAUAUUAAUAGA
rnacentral:tRNA from 1 species